CCACUGCACUCUGGGAUAAGCCUGGGAAACUGGGUCUAAUACCGGAUAGGACCAUGCUUUAGUGUGUGUGGUGGAAAGUUUUUUCGGUGUAGGAUGAGCCCGCGGCCUAUCAGCUUGUUGGUGGGGUAAUGGCCUACCAAGGCGGCGACGGGUAGCCGGACUGAGAGGUUGGUCGGCCACAUUGGGACUGAGAUACGGCCCAG
rnacentral:rRNA from 1 species